rnacentral:lncRNA from 1 species
AUGGUAAACCUUGUAGUAUUUGACCGUUUUUAAAAUUUUGCAAACAUAUGGCGCAAUUAAUUUGACUAAACCGAAGAGGGUUGGAUGAGUUAUAUGUUAACUCUUUUACCCGCUCAUGAAAUGGUUGACGAAUCACAUUCAAUGAUCGACGAGCCAUGUAAUUUUUAAUAACUAAAUAUAAAAGCCAUAUUAUACAUCCAAAUACAAAUAAAAUUAUUAGUCCUAAUAUUAUUUUAUUAACUAAAAUAUCGUCAACAUCUUCGCGUGGAUCAAAAUUCUUUCUCAUUUCCUGAAGGAAAAAAAAAAAAGAUCAUGUUAGAUUACAAUUAUUCACAGAAUCACUAAUUUAACACUUCUAUUACUCUUGUUAAAAAAAUCAUUCUAACUUAAGAUAAUUGGUAUUUUAGAAAUUUAUCAUAUAAUUAACAUUUACUCUUGCAAUUAAAACCUGAGCAAAUUAAAGAAAAAGAAAAAAAUGACAAUAAUCUUAGAGAAAUAUCUAUAUUACUGAUACUCUUCUCAUCAAAGAUGUUAUUGUUAUAAACUAAUGUAAAUAGGAGCAAUAGUAUAGAUGGAGAAGAGAGAAAAGAGAGAAAGAAUAGUGUAUGUUAUUCACCACUAGGAUUAGGGUUACAAUAUAGUGAUACAUAGUAUCUAUAUAUAGGUAAACAUAUUGGGCCAAUUACAUGGGCCAGAACAUCCACUAAUAAUAUUCAUAACAGUUAUGACAAUAAAAUAAAUAUUAUUCAGUGGCACAUACAUUAAUUCAUUUAUAGAAAAUAUAUAUAUAUAUUUUGCAAUCAUAUUUACACAAUUAAACAUAAUAGAUAAAUAUAAAAGGAUGACGCUUACGUGUCUAUUGAUAUGAAUGGAAAUCCAAGGCAAAUAUGCAAAAGCUCUGCAUUGAUGCCAUUGAGGUAUAAGUAGUAGUAAGUUUUGAAGUUGAGAUCGUAAAACCAAUCAACUAAUAAAUUCAACAUUACAAUAUUUAGUUGAUAAUUUAAAGAGCAAUUAAGUUGAUUAUACAAAAAUAAUAAUUUAAAUUGACCACCUGAAUAUUUGACGAGACACAUAUUUUGAAUUGAUGAUACACAUAUAAUGCUCGAAGAGUCAUGUAACUUUAAAUAACUAAAUAUAAAAG